AGUGCUCCAGGUCUGCCCCCAGGCUCCAAGGGUGGGUCUCCUAGGGGCUGGAAAGUGCCCCACCAAUCUGGCUAAGAUAAAGAAAAGAUAUGAAGAGAAAGUUACAGAAACUUGAAGGGUUAAGCUAAGUCGCUGAGAGAGUUAUUGUAAGUUGCAGAGAAAAUAAGUUGAUGCGUGGUUCAGGGUCUGUGCAGAAAAGUGGACAGCACCUAAUAGCUGUAGAAGAAGAUGCAGAGAGACAGAAAAAAAAAGAAAGAAAGAAAGAAAGAGGUAAAGAGUGCAGGAAGCUAGGGAAGAAAAGAGACUAAAAGAAGAGGAAGCUAGAGAGCUAAAGAGAGAUAAAAGACAAGAGAGGAACAUAUACUGGCCACAGUAGUUAGGGAACCUAGGAAGACAGUACCUGGCAACAGAAGAGAAUUCCUGGCUAAAGAUCAGUGUGCCUAAUGCAAAGAAAAAAAAAAGACACUGGGUCAGGGACUGCCCCAGAAAGAACAAGAGGGGACACUGGAGAGCCUCUUGGUCCUAGAGUGCUGGCUAUGUACAGAGAUAGAAGGGAAGUGUGGAUGCAGGGACCCAAUGCUCUGUGCUCCUAUGCCCCCCUCCAGUGGGCCAAUAUCCAAAGACCUUGGGUACAGGGGCCUACUGGCAACAAACAAUACUUAUGGACUGCCCGAAGAACAGUGGACCUUGGCGUGGGCCGGGUAACCCACUAGUUCAUAGUCAUCCCUGACUGCCCCUAUCCCUUGCUCAUGAGAAAAUUGCUCUCCAAAAUGGCUUGCGUGGGCUGAAAUGGCUGGGUGAGGCCAUGUGUAUGCAUAUCUACAGACUGUGUAUGCGGAGCUUAAGACCUGUCUCAGUGCACCAGUACCUGAUGCUGGGAGACGAAUGGCUUAGCGCUGUUCUACUUGGAACAUAUCACUCCUGCCAGCCGGGCACUAACAAUUAUCACCCAAUCCAGGACUUAAACUGUGAUAGAGUGGCUGAUGUUCUGCCUUUGAAUAGAGUGUCCCAAAAGAUGGGACCACUGGUCAGCUGCCAUGGACUAGAUUCUCCACCGGUUGGGGACAAUCUGGUCACCUUGCUGCCCAAUCCGGACCUGGAGCCACCACAGCACAAGUGUCAAGUACUGGCAGAAGCCCAUGGGUGGAGGAAAGACCUCUGCGACUGGCUGAUUGACCCCUGCUGAAAGCCGAGGACCUUGUCCACAGACGGGAACAGUUCUCUUCAUGAAUGAAGUACAUCAGCACUGCAGAUGCCUUUACCAUCUCUUGGAUGCCCUGGUGAAGCCAACAACUGUGAGUACUAUUCAUUGCUCAGGAUAUCAGGAGGGAAGAGAUUCAGUGACAUGGGGCAAUAACGAAGCAGAUAAAGUGGCUCGAAAAAUGGUUAUGCAGGAGCCCAUCCUGGUUGCAGGCCUGCAAGAGACAGCCACUGGGAACUGGGAUCGGACUAAGGGAUGGCCUCACUUAGAAAAGGCCCAAAUUGCUUAAAAGAUAAAGGACAAUGGCACAUUGAGGGGAAAGCUAUACUUCCCAGAGAACAAAGAAAAGACUCACUUUGCCAAAUACAGAAAUGGACUCAUUUAGGAGAUAAAAAGUUUGUCCAAGUAGUUAAGUGUAUGUAAUAGACUUUAAGAUUUUAGCCAGAGAGACAGUAGAAAGUAUAAGGUAUGUCAAUAAGUGAAUGCUUAGCAAGCAAACAGGGCAAAGAGACCUAGAGAGUUUGGUGAAAAGUCGAAGUGAACUUCACUGAGAUAAAACCAGAAAAAUAUAAUCACAAGUAUCUCCUAGUGCUUGUAGAUACUUUUUCAGGAAUAGAUAGAAGCUUUCCUCACCAAACAAGAGACGGCCUCUGCAAUCAUCAAGAAGAUACUGGAAGAAAUCUUCCUCUGAUUUGGAAUGCCCAAGGUAAUCUGGUCAGACAACGGCCCUACUUUCGUUGCCAAGGUAAGCCAGGGUGUGGCCAAGUAUUUAGAGGUCAAUUGGAAAUUACAUUGUAUUUACAGACCUCAAAGUUCAGGACAGGUAGGGUAAAUAAAUAGAACUCUAAAAGAGACCCUGACCAAAUUAACCAUGGAGACUGGCACAGACUGGGUGACACUCCUUCCCUCUUGCUCUCUUCAGAGCAAGAAAUACCCCUUCCAGAUUCAGCCUUACCCCCUUUGAGAUCUUAUAUGGGGCCUCAGCCCCCCUGACUGUAUUAGAUGAUGUUACUGAACCAACAUGUCAUAGUGCCAUAGUAAUAAUGAUUUGUGUGCCAGGCUAAAAGACCUACAGGUGAUACAGAAAGAAAUCUGCUCACAGCUGACAGCAGCCUAUGCCCCGGAGACCCCUGAGACAUCCCAUCAGUUCCAGGUUGCAGCUACACUGAGUCCAGACACUCGAGCCUCGCUGGAAAGGACCGUACCUGGUGCUGCUGACCACCCUGACAGCUGUCAAUUCUCAGCCCUCACCAGCCGUGUACUAGCUGUUGGGGCUGAGAGCUGGGACCUAGAGGGAAAUUCAGUCAUGUUUGUCCUGGGUUCUAUCAAGAUAGGUGUGGGAUAGGCUUGAUUUCCAUUACAAAUGAUGUAACAUUGCAUAUGUUAGUACUCUUAACACUUCUUGGGACUGUGCCUCAGGGAUCACAGUCCGUAUAAGCUUAGAAGUUCUAAAAGCUAGUCAUGACCUUGGUGGAUAGGCUUGGAUAGUGUCCAGGUUAGAAUCCUCAUGUUAAGACUACAAUACCAAGCUGUUAUGCUAGAUGAAGCUGAGUUCUCCAUGAAGUUCUAGGAUUAGAACUAUUAACAAAAAAAGAAGAAGUGGGGAAUGAAGGAUUAAAAUUAAUAAUAAGCCGCCUAGCUACCCAAAAAGAAGAGGUAGGGUCUGUGAGAACAUGAACUUUUCGCCCCUCCCUUGCUGUGCAAUGGUUCCCGGAACAUUCUUGCAUGAAAGGUUUCCUGGAACAGCCACAAUGACCCAUAGCCUCCGGCCACAAUGGUCCAAUGGCCCUGUAAAAUGUCGCAAAGUCCUGGGUGUGUUGCCUAGUGUUGCACGUGGCUAGCAUAUGGCCUAGAUGUAUGGGCAGUUUAUGGUUUUGGAAUUCCCCUCCUCCCUCCCUCUUGAUCCCCCUGGUUUGUGGUUUUUUCCUUUAUAAGCUCUGUGAAAAUUCAGGUCGGGGUCGAACUCCUCUACUCCCUGUGUGGCGUAUGAGUCUCGACCCCAGCAUGCUGGCCUGAGCUCUCGUUUCAUCUCGCUCACAAUAAAUCUUCCUCGUGUGAUUACAGCA